UACGUAGGGGUGCAAGCGUUUAAUCGGAAUUACUGGGCGUAAAGCGUGCGCAGGCGGUUCGUUGUGUCGGCGGUGAAAGCCCCCGGGCUUAACCUGGGGAAUGGCCGUUGAAACUGGCGAACUGGAGUGUGGCAGAGGGGGGGUGGAAUUCCGCGUGUAGCAGUGAAAUGCGUAGAGAUGCGGAGGAACACCGAUGGCGAAGGCACCCCCCUGGGCUAACACUGACGCUCAGGCACGAAAAGCGUGGGGAGCAAACAGG
rnacentral:rRNA from 1 species